UUCUAGGUUGUCUUAGAGGAUCCAGUUAGACACAGAUCUGGCGAUUUGUGAAAGCGAGGAUUUCUUCUAGUUUUCUUACUGCUAUUGCAUGGGGUUUUUAAGUUUGUUUUUAUUUGUUCAGAUUCACUGGCUCAACUUUCUCCUUCCAUAAGGACACGGGAGCCCCAGGUCUCACUGAGUGUCUUUGUGUAGAUGUGAGAGUUGGAGGGCUUCUGGCUGGAAAUCUUCUAAGGUGACAAGAAGCUGAUAAGUUAAAAUGACCCAGGACUGUGAUGAAUGAAACAGCGGAUACUGUGAAUCUAACAGACAACCCUCUGUCCCAGGCAUCACAUGCUGUAUGGAAGAUGGAAAAAGAACUUGUUGUAAAAAAGUCAAUAAAAAUGGUUAGAUUUGGAGACACA